ensembl:lncRNA
AUUUGGGAGUGCAGUGAGCAGUUUUAACUUGGGGAUUAAAUUGGAAUUCUGGGUGCAUUCCUUAACUUUUUUUUUUUUUAAGUGUGUUUAACUUCCUGUAUCGAAAUUUCGGUGUCUUUAGACCGUUUAAAAUACAAUCUGACUUCAGAAGGGCGGCUGCAGUCUUUAGAGAAUUAAUUCACUUAAACCCGAGCACCUCCUUGCUCGGAGCACUAGUUUCGAGGAGGGAUGUGGUUAUCAUGCGCAAGAAGUAGAGAUUUUUUUUUUCGUGACUCUUCCUAGCGCAAUCUUUUUUACUCUCAACGGCAAACCGAAGAAUCUCGGCCUCCUCGGACGCAGAACUCUUCUCCCAUAUCUCCCUGGGGGUCAAGUUGGAGCGAAUAACUUCAAAACGUUUGAGAAGAAGAGGAACAGCAACAACACAGCCUUUCUCACUUGGAAAGAAACUCUUGCUGAAGCCUUGUCGUUUUAAGGAACGCCUUAUCCCGCCCCCAUUGUAUCCAGCCUGGAGUUCCCGCUCUCUGGUCGGCACCGGGAGAGCGAUUCCGAAGGUGCACCGGGACCUUCGCUCCGUUGUUGGGCGAUCUUAUCUGCGGGCCUAGAGGCCCACUUGCCCUUGGUUCCCUGAAGCUCUGGGGGCACCCAACAAUUACCACUGCCCUGGGAUAGUCCCAUCUUGCGUGACCCUGCGGGGAAUUGGGGGUGGAAGAGCGUGGACUACUGACUUUGCUCCGAACGGCCGGGGACCCAACCUGGAAAGGACCGAGGCCCCAGGCGGCUGGGGCGCGCCAGAGCGCACAGCCACAGGGACAGAAAGCGUGACGCGCGCGGGGAGCCAGGUCCAGUCCCGCAGCUCCAGGUCUCGGAACUUGGCGGCCUCGCCCUGCAGAGACGCAGUCUCUCGUAGUCUAUCCCUGGGCACUGCACAUUCAGCUGAGGGAGUGGAGACGCCAAGCCUAGCUCUGGUGGUGACCUUAUCAAGACCUUUCCAUCAUACUCUCUGGGUCAUCGGAAAAGCUUGCUCAUUGUGCAGACCAGCCGGCUUCCAGGGAACUCAUCAGCGGGCUGGAACUGGGGUAUGUGUGACCCUCGGCUGCUCCCAGGGCUUUCCCCUUCCUUCGGCCUACCCUAGGUUCACCUCUGGAAACAGACCAGUUCUCCACAAUCGCAGCCAGGGUGACAGCAAGGUGUGAUGGAUGGAC